rnacentral:lncRNA from 1 species
GGUUUGCCAUGCUGGCGCCACAUUUUCAUCUCUCUGUAUAUUUUCAUGGGUAGUUUAAUAAGACAUUGAGAAGUAUCUGUUAGGUAUUGCUAAGUUGCUGCCAUGCUAACCUGAAAGUUUUUCUACUUUAUUUGAUUUUGUUUUUUAUUAAGACAGAUCAACUGAGCAGAAUAACUGAAUCUCAGGCUGAAUAGGAUCAUAAUGAGCCUCUAAGGAUUGAUCUUGAACAUUCAGUCUCUUUGAUUGUUGGAGACAGAAAGGAAAUUGGACACCAUCUACUCCAAACCCAUCACUUUAUCUUAGGAAUUUGAAGGUCCAACAGAAUCAAUGACUUGCCUGAGGACACAGCUCACUAGAAAUAGAGAGCUGAGCAGGAAAAGAUGGGAAGUAUUCCAGAAUUGUGGAAUGACUAUACAGGCAGAAGCCAGGCGAAAAAACAGAAGAUUCUCCAAAACUUGGCAUUAAAUUGAUUCUACAAGCACAGGGACACAAGGAACAAGAGACUAACUUUGUACUUAGCUUGAUGUUUCCUUUGUUAUUCAAUUGCGAAGUCGUGACCAGCUCUUUGCGAUUCGUGGACUGCAGCGUGCCAGGCUCCUCUGUCCUCCACUGUCU